CACGUAGGCACCAAGCGUUGUCCGGAUUUAUUGGGCGUAAAGAGCUCGUAGGCGGUUCGGUAAGUCGGGUGUGAAAACUCUGGGCUCAACCCAGAGCCGCCACCCGAUACUGCUGUGACUCGAGUGCGGUAGGGGAGCGGGGAAUUCCUGGUGUAGCGGUGAAAUGCGCAGAUAUCAGGAGGAACACCAGUGGCGAAGGCGGCAUCCUGGACCGGCAUUGACGCUGAGGCGCGAAAGCCAGGGGAGCAAACGGG
rnacentral:rRNA from 1 species